GCCAGUGUGGCGUCGUGGUUUGAGUGUUGGACCACAACUCUGGAGUCCAGGGUUCGAAUCCCCCGUUCGGCCA